GGCCAUAUCGUUCAUAACACAAAGGUCUGGUCCUGGCCUUAUUAUCAAUUAUAGCUAAACUUACACAUGCAAGUCUCCCCGCCCCUGUGAAAACGCCCUCUCUCUCCUAGUAAAAGAAAGAGGAGCCGGUAUCAGGCUCAAUUCGCCCAUGACACCUAGCCCCGCCACACCCCCAAGGGUAUUCAGCAGUGAUCAACAUUGUAAACUAGCGUAAGCUAAAUUCAGUUACCAGCUAAAAAAACCGGUCAAUCUCGUGCCAGCCACCGCGGUUAUACGGGCAGGUUUAAAUUGAUAAGAUCGGCACAAAGCGUGGUUAGACCCCCUACCUCAAUAAAGCAAAAAUUAAGCCCGGCUGUAAUAUGCUUACGCUUUUAAUAACUUCAAUCACGAAAGUAGCUUUAACUCUUAUUGAACCCACGAUCGCUAGGGCACAAACUGGGAUUAGAUACCCCACUAUGCCUAGCCCUAAACUUUGACUCACUCCGCCUGGGGACUACGAGCGUCAGCUUAAAACCCAAAAGACUUGGCGGUGCCCUACACCACCUAGAGGAGCCUGUUCUAAAAUUCGAUAAAGG
rnacentral:rRNA from 1 species